AGUGAACGCUGGCGGUAGGCCUAACACGUGCAAGUCGAACGGCAGCACAGUAAGAGCUUGCUCUUACGGGUGGCGAGUGGCGGACGGGUGAGGAAUACAUCGGAAUCUACUUUUUCGUGGGGGAUAACGUAGGGAAACUUACGCUAAUACCGCAUACGACCUACGGGUGAAAGCAGGGGAUCUUCGGACCUUGCGCGAUUGAAUGAGCCGAUGUCGGAUUAGCUAGUUGGCGGGGUAAAGGCCCACCAAGGCGACGAUCCGUAGCUGGUCUGAGAGGAUGAUCAGCCACACUGAAACUGAGACACGGUCCAGACUCCUACGGGAGGCAGCAGUGGGGAAUAUUGGACAAUGGGCGCAAGCCUGAUCCAGCCAUACCGCGUGGGUGAAGAAGGCCUUCGGGUUGUAAAGCCCUUUUGUUGGGAAAGAAAAGCAGCAGGUUAAUACCCCGCUGUUCUGACGGUACCCAAAGAAUAAGCACCGGCUAACUUCGUG
rnacentral:rRNA from 1 species